rnacentral:rRNA from 1 species
UACGGGGGGGGCGAGCGUUGUUCGGAAUCACUGGGCGUAAAGGGCGCGUAGGCGGCCCGCACAAGUCUGCGGUGAAAACCCCCGGCUUAACCGGGGGCCGGCCGUGGAAACUGUCGGGCUGGAGGCUGGGAGAGGGCAGCGGAAUUCCCGGUGUAGCGGUGGAAUGCGUAGAGAUCGGGAGGAACACCGGCGGCGAAGGCGGCUGCCUGGACCAGUCCUGACGCUGAGGCGCGAAAGCUAGGGGAGCAAACAGG